UUCGCUCCAGCCUGAGCUCGGUUAGGGCCUCGCCGUCCUGCUUCCACCCCUCAGGGAGGCCUCCGUGAUUCGGCCUCAGCCUCCGUCGCUCUGUGACCUGUGGGUAUUGGAUGAUUCCUAGCUGAGACUCUGCUACACCCCUGAAGUGGGGAAAUGGUCUCCUCCAAGGGUCAAAGGAGACUGAGGACUGCUUCUAGAGUUUUCCACUAACAGGCCACGUAAGUGUCCCGAAGAUUCAUGGCUUCUUUCUACCUCCCAGAUCUUGAAUCUGCACCAGUAACCUCUUUCCUGCAGUAGCCUAGAUUUCUGGAUCACCUGACCAUCUUAUCUCCCUGCACGCACACAUUUAUAAGUCAGAGCUGUCCUGCCUGGGCCAGUAUCUGUAGCACUAACCAGUUCUUUCACCAAUUGUGCACCAAAGCUCACCCAUGGAUUCUUGAUAGCACCUUUUCUAUUCUGCAUUUUUCCCCCACAAACCCUCUUUCCUGUGAAGACAGUAUGCCCAAGGUCUCC
rnacentral:lncRNA from 1 species